CCGGCGAUUUCCGAAUGGGGAAACCCAGUGUGUUUCGACACACUAUCAUUAACUGAAUCCAUAGGUUAAUGAGGCGAACCGGGGGAACUGAAACAUCUAAGUACCCCGAGGAAAAGAAAUCAACCGAGAUUCCCCCAGUAGCGGCGAGCGAACGGGGAGGAGCCCAGAGCCUGAAUCAGUGUGUGUGUUAGUGGAAGCGUCUGGAAAGGCGCGCGAUACAGGGUGACAGCCCCGUACACAAAAAUGCACAUAUUGUGAGCUCGAUGAGUAGGGCGGGACACGUGGUAUCCUGUCUGAAUAUGGGGGGACCAUCCUCCAAGGCUAAAUACUCCUGACUGACCGAUAGUGAACCAGUACCGUGAGGGAAAGGCGAAAAGAACCCCGGCGAGGGGAGUGAAAAAGAACCUGAAACCGUGUACGUACAAGCAGUGGGAGCCUCUUAAUGGGGUGACUGCGUACCUUUUGUAUAAUGGGUCAGCGACUUAUAUUCUGUAGCAAGGUUAACCGAAUAGGGGAGCCGAAGGGAAACCGAGUCUUAACUGGGCGUUAAGUUGCAGGGUAUAGACCCGAAACCCGGUGAUCUAGCCAUGGGCAGGUUGAAGGUUGGGUAACACUAACUGGAGGACCGAACCGACUAAUGUUGAAAAAUUAGCGGAUGACUUGUGGCUGGGGGUGAAAGGCCAAUCAAACCGGGAGAUAGCUGGUUCUCCCCGAAAGCUAUUUAGGUAGCGCCUCGUGAAUUCAUCUCCGGGGGUAGAGCACUGUUUCGGCAAGGGGGUCAUCCCGACUUACCAACCCGAUGCAAACUGCGAAUACCGGAGAAUGUUAUCACGGGAGACACACGGCGGGUGCUAACGUCCGUCGUGAAGAGGGAAACAACCCAGACCGCCAGCUAAGGUCCCAAAGUCAUGGUUAAGUGGGAAACGAUGUGGGAAGGCCCAGACAGCCAGGAUGUUGGCUUAGAAGCAGCCAUCAUUUAAAGAAAGCGUAAUAGCUCACUGGUCGAGUCGGCCUGCGCGGAAGAUGUAACGGGGCUAAACCAUGCACCGAAGCUGCGGCAGCGACACUAUGUGUUGUUGGGUAGGGGAGCGUUCUGUAAGCCUGUGAAGGUGGCCUGUGAGGGUUGCUGGAGGUAUCAGAAGUGCGAAUGCUGACAUAAGUAACGAUAAAGCGGGUGAAAAGCCCGCUCGCCGGAAGACCAAGGGUUCCUGUCCAACGUUAAUCGGGGCAGGGUGAGUCGACCCCUAAGGCGAGGCCGAAAGGCGUAGUCGAUGGGAAACAGGUUAAUAUUCCUGUACUUGGUGUUACUGCGAAGGGGGGACGGAGAAGGCUAUGUUGGCCGGGCGACGGUUGUCCCGGUUUAAGCGUGUAGGCUGGU
rnacentral:rRNA from 1 species